UACUUCUCAGUACAAGAACUUUGUGAUGCACCUUCACUUCCUGCAGUUACAGUUGGUUUUGGAUACACCCCUUCCUACAGAAACUUAUAUAAGAUAGCUCCUGUUAUCCUUGACUUCCAGAGAACAUCAGAAGCAUCAAAGAGUUUAAAUGUGAGGUAAUUGUGAACAUAGUGAUUACUGAAAAGCAGAGAACUGUGAAAUGCUGCUGAAUUCUUCCCUUCUGCAGUUAUCUACGGCUACAUUUUUUCAGAGGUACCUGAUGGAAUUGGGCCCCUCUGUUGUAGCAUAUGGAAUAUUUUUGACUUAUUUUUGGGGGAGCAAUGGAAUGGCACAAAUUACAAGGGAACAAAAAUUUAGGAUGGCGUCAUUUCACCUCCAGGAGUGACACCGUGGCACUGGCUCGGCUGCGUGAGGCUGGGAUGAGUGCAGGAUGUGUGGUGCAGCUUUCCUUGCGUCUGCCUUGUGCAGCAGUGGGUGAGUAGUUCCUUCAAGAGGCUCUUCUGAAGCUUGGUUUGAUUUGGAGAGAGAAAAGGGGUCAAGAUAACAAAAAACUAGCAGAGGAAGAGCCAGGCCAUGAGGAGGGCUCUGUGUUAGUUGGGCUGAAGCUGCACCUCAGGAGCCAUGAAUCCCCACAGAUCACUCACAAAUGGCCAAGGUCUCUGAAAGCAGAUGGACACCAUGCAGAUAGCACUUCUCCCAUCUGUGCAGUCCAGUGUUAAGCCAGCCUUUUGGAAAAUGAUGCAACUUGGGUGCUUACCUGUACAUUAUAACCACUUCUCUGGAGGUGUGUUAGGAGCAAAGAUGGAAGCAAUUUCAGCUGAACAGAGAAGAUGGAAGGGUCUGUGGAAGGUAUAAUCUGGAAGGUGAAGAAUGACCAGGCAGAACUCAAAUGCCAUUUUGUUAUGCUUAAUAGCUGAUUAAAAACGAGCUGGCCCCUCUCUGGUGUUCACGCGCAAAUGCUCUCUCUCGGGUUUUUGAAAUUGAGUCAUAAUUGCUGAUGCCAAAAGCUGUCAGUACAACAGGAUAGAAAGCAGUCAGCUCUUCUUAGUGUUAUAUAAAGUUGUCAUUUUGGAAGAAUGAGCAAUGAUAAAGAACUGUUGCAGUGCUUCUGCCCAUUUUCACAGUAAACCAUGCUGUUCAUGUUGCUUGUGUUGGUCUCUUUUCUAAUAUAUUAAUUUUCUCCUCUAAGAAAAGAAUUCAAAACAAAGCAAUAGGAAUUUAAGCACAAUUUGCAGGGGAAAUAAAGCUGCAUUUUUAGAAAUAUUUAUGUCAAACAUGCUCAUUCCUGCAUGCAGUAUAAUAAUAUGUAAAAAAUAUUUAAGAUUUUAAUGUAAAACAUGAAAUUGAAUGUACAUUUUUUACCAUGGCAGGCACAUCAGCAGUAUCUAGCUGUAUAUUUAAAGGAAAAAAAUUCUGUAAAACGUUCUUAGCUCUGUAUGUAAUACAUACAUUUACAAAACAAAAUGCUGGCUUCCCUAAUCAUGUGUGAUUUAGUGGGUUAAUAUAAGGUAUAUUAAUAUUUAUAGUGUCUGAAAUUUUAACAGAGAAUCCUCUCACUGGCUUCUGCAGUAUGGAUGUUUUCAAGUGGACAACAGCAUGCCUACUCUGAGAACUCAUUUCUUUGCUUUCUCAUUAACAUUCAAAUUACUUGUAGGAUGAUUAUUAAUGAGAAUGGACAUUGCACAAUCUAACUCUGCAGCCACUAUUGCUUUUCAAUAAGCAAAAUGAUGGAGACUGGGCACCACAAAUUUCUUUCAGCUUUUGUUGUUUUUGCAGAAUUGCAGUCACGUGCUUGGUUCCCAUCUCACCCAUGAACAUUCCAGGGCUGAAAUCUUCAGUUUUGCAGAAAAAUGUUUCCUGUCAUCCUGAACUGUAUCACUUUCCUCACGCUUUUGAAACUUAAAGGAUUUCUGAAAAUCCUUCAUUCACUGAGAUCAAAAGCUUCUGUAAACCUGGAAUCUGGAUGUAUGAACUUGCAGUAAACCUUUUAAGUGAUCACCCUGGGAAGAACAGUCAGUUCCAUGUGAAAAAGCAUUAAAGUCAGCUCAUGUGAUGCACACUUUUGGGUUCCCACUUCCCACAGGAACACAUCAGAAGACAAAGUAUGUUAUUAAGUCAACCAAGCUCAAGUUUGUCUUACAAUUUUUCCAUUCAUUGAAAUGGGACGUGAAUAUUUUGUUUCCUAAUCAGCACAAUUACCCUGGAGCUCAUGUUGCAGUGUGUCACCACAAUGACAGCUCCCCCUGAAUGACAACUCUCAUCUGUAGUGAAAAAUGACGGGAUUUGUAAACCCAGGUUGUUUAAAGAAGACUCAGUUCUUGAGUGACUAUUUCACAGUUAAUCAUUGCUGCAUUUUUCAGUACACCUCGAAUACACCUAUUUCAGAACUGAUCAAUCUGGUCUGCUGAAAGGGACUUUAAUGGUGCAUAACAGGAGAUUCUGUUUCAGCACCGACUAACAGAAUAUUGUUGAUGGUAAUUAGAGGAUUCUCAGACACAUUCUACACAUUGGAAAAUGUAAUCUAGUAGAAAAAUCAAUAGUGAUGGGUGACAAACUCUCUUAUCAUGCCUUUUGUUGUCACUUGGGCAGUUACUGUCACCACCCUCUUCCUAAAGGAGGCCUUAGUUUUUUUAUGUAGCAGAAGCCACCACUUGUCUCUGAAUGUGCAUUUGCAUGGAGCUCUGUUAUGUAUAUAUGUAUUUAUAUAUAUAUAAAAUUCCAUUUAUCCUUAGGUUUCUUUAAUGGCAUCUGGCUUAAAAAAAGGAGAAAUGAGUAUUUUACACUCGUGAGCAUGGGAAAGGAGUCUUGGACUGAAGGCUGACUGGGAAGCUCUCCUGUGGUUUUCAUGCUCAUGAAUGUAGCCAGAAAUCUGAAUAUAAAUCACUGUAAGGUUUGGUAGGUACUUUAAACACAAGUUUUGGGAGUUCAAUUUGUAUCAGCAGUACAUGGACUGUAUGAAUUUCAGAUCUUGUGACAAGGGAUCGACUCAGCAGUGUUUGGAUGGCACCAGGCCUCUAUUUGUACUUGCAGACCAGGGAAAAUACUGCAAAAUGUGUAUCUAAUGCUAAGAAUAAUAUGAUCCCUCCUCCCAAAAUGAGGAAAAUAACUGCCAACAUCAUAAGUGCUUCUGAACACUUCCAAAAUGUUCAGAAAAUCUGCAAAUUGUCAGAAAAUUUUACGGUGUACUAUGGCAGAAAUCUUGACAUAAGUGUGCUGCAGACAUCAAAAAGACUGAUGCUGGUGUCACACUGAUUUCAUUUUCCUUUUGUUAUAUAAAUAUACACAUAGUGCUUUAAAAAUAUUGGAGGUGAUCUGCAGUGGUUCAUAAAACCUUGCUGGUUUGCAAAUCACUAAGAUAUUUUAACUGCUUUGCCUGGUUCUGAGUUAGUGUCUGCAGGCAUCUUGCAUUAUAUUAUACCUUGGAAUUGCAUCUGAAAGUUGUGGAUCUGCAACAUUGAUCCAGAAACUUGGUAUUUCAGCUUGAAGGAAAAGAGCAACUUCUGUGUGGGGUCUGUGGUGUGAAAUUCUGCUCGUGGUAACUUCAACAGCUUCUCCUUUGUUCAAAAAAUGCUGAUGGUUUUGUCUUUCCUCUGCACUUCAGUGGAAGGAGCUUUUUUUAGGCUCUUUACUUUCAGCUCUUCUUCUGAGAUUCUUCUCUAGUGAAUCAUGCCACAUCUUUUUGGUACCAAAAUGCAGAGACUUUGAAAGAAGCACUGCUUCCUAGUGCAUACAUUUAUACAUUUUAUUCACUAUAUAUAGACAUUCAUGGUUGGUAAAUAUUUGAUAUGUUGGCAGUUGAAGAAGGUUUCUCUGGAAAGGAUGACUGAAACUGGUGAUGAUUUUGAAUUUCAAGUAAUUAAAUGAUAUUAAAAUAAUUUAACAAACAUUAAAUAAUCUUAAUGAAUAAAAAAAAAAUUUUAGUGUUCAGCAGUUAAUGACCAAGAAAAUUUGUUUUCAGCAGUUUAAGGGCAUUUAAAAUAUUUCAACAUUUUACAGUGUUAACGCUUUAAUUAUAUUACUUAGGAUAAUAAUAGGACAUUUAACUUGCACUUCUGUUCCUUGCUUGCCUAUAAGAUUUCCCCCAGACAUUUGGCAUGGGACAGCUGAGUGUACCUAAUUAUCAUUCCCAAGAUCCAGUAACUCGUUUUUUCCCCCACCCCCAUACUAUAUUUACCUUUCAUGUGGUGGGUUAUAAAAACUCUUACUCUGAGGGCUCACUAAUCCAUGUUUUAGCAGGCUGGGUUCAAAAUGUUCUGCAGUCACAGAUAGUCUUGCCUGGGCGUUUUACAUAAAGCAAAGCCAAGUUUAUGUAACAGAAACAGAAUAUGAGACGUAUGGCAAAUAGUAUUUGUGAUCCUUCUGCUCCCAAACUCUGCUACCUGAAACUUGGUUUGUUCUGUUUUGUUUCUUUUUGUGCUCCCUAAUGAACGUUCCUCCUGUGUCCUAGGAUAGCUGGUCACACGUAGAUGGACCUGUGUGUGGUGAGUCCAGCAAUUAUUAGAACCACUUUAAAUUAAAGCAUUUCUUAGCACUGCUGACAUGAUGAGAGUAGAUGACAAAACGUGCAAUGAAAUACUGUACCUUCAGAGAAGUGUAAAGUUGGUGUCAUGUAACACUUGUUUGGUGAUAGAUAAGCUAAUGUAAUUGCACGGAAUAAAUGUCAUCACCUGCAUGAAGAUAAAUAGCUUUUCCUGCACUAGCAUGCUUUUGCACAUAAAAUGCUGCCAUUUUACCAGUUGUCCCCGUUAUUUUGCCAAAUAAAUUUUUAAUGGCCAUAAAA